UAAUCAUUCAUGCUAAUUCGCCGGAUCUUCUAUGUUUUUUGAGUGGGAAAAUAAUAUUCUCGUAAUUGUAUGGGGAUGAGACGAAGAUCGAGAGGAAAAGAUGAGAAGGAAAGGAUAGACGAAGAAUCGUGUCCCUUUAAGUUAAAGCGAAUUGAAUUUUCCAACGCCUGGUUCCAAGGAAGGAAUUUAAACUGUAUCCAGCCGAUAAAUACACACCGUACGUGCGAGGUGCGGUUCGAGGCAUCCUUUUGCGAAUCCUUUGUUCGCCCAAGAUUUUCUCAUUACGCCGAGCCCGGCUACUAAUUUAUUCGUACACGAGGAGCAAUCACGGGAGGAAACGUAUACCGCUUCAAUGAGCCGCACGAAGCGAAACACGGAUCGAGGGGGAGGGAAGGAGCGGAACAAGGCGGGAGAAAGAAAGAGAGAGAAGGGAGGGGGAAGAGGAAUUCUUGGCUGGUUCGAGUCGAACAACGUGUAGCGGAUCUUCUACGCAGGUAUACAAGCCCGUUCCAGGAGAUACCGUAAGACCUUGCUGUUACGUCACUAGAAGCCACGUGAUUAGGAGAAAAAGGAUACCGGCGAGAAGGGAGACGAGAAAACGGAAACUCUGCCCUCGGGCUGAACACGCUUCGUUCUUCGAAAUUCGUAAAUGUAUAAUUUUUCUCUUAAUCCUUUGAUUAAGCUUUUUUCUUUUCUCCAGUUUUAUUUUUCUUGCGUUUGUUACGUAUUCGAAAUUUGAAAUUUCCUGGAGAUUCCUUUUUCUAAGUUUGGAAAUUCAAAGAUGCAUCUUGAUAUUCUCUUUUCUUUUUCCCUUUAUUUUCGAACGAAUUUUAAUUUUUGAGGUUUAAUUGGAGUUUAAAAAUUCGAAAAUGAAAUGUUAGAUUUUUCCUCUUUUCGCAUUGUUGAAUUGUCUUUAUGUUUUUCAAAUUGAAAGAUACAAUAUUUGAAGUUGCGAUGUUUCUUUAGCUUCUUUUUCUCUUUUUAUUUUUGAAUACUAUUGUGUUUUCGAAAUUUGAUUGAAUUCCAAAAAUUUAUAAAUGCAAUGCUCCUUUAAUCUCUUCAUCCCUUUCAUUAAUUUUUUUUCUCUUUUAAGUUCGAUUAAUCCUCCCUUUUUCUAAAUUUCAAAACAGUUGAAACAGUUUCGAAAAUUAUAAUUUUAAAAUUCUCUUUUAGCUGAAAAUUUCUUUAGCGCCAAUUUAAGUGGAGUCGGAGCUUUUUUAAUAUAAAGCUAUAAAAUAAUUGCAAUUAACGAAACAGUGGUUCCAGCCAUUUUCAGAAUCAGAACACAAGGAUCGAAAAUGAUUAUCCAGCUGUUCCAUGCUGAAACGUUUCUAAAAUAAGAGACGCAUGUGUGAAGUUAUAAUUACGUAUCUGUAGAGGUUACCAGUAAAUUUAGAUGUGCAAAGUGGGCUAAACGAUCUCAAGUUGAGCUCUACGUUUAAAUAAAUCUAUCUGUAUAAAUUAUAACAAUAUUCAUAUAUCAAUUUUAGACAUUUCAUUUGAAUAAAGUAUUCUGUUACUGUC